CUACACUUCAUAUGUUCAGUUUGUAAAUGACGGUCCGCCUUUAUGUGUAACAUGGUUAAAUCUAGAUUUAAAG